rnacentral:rRNA from 1 species
AACGAACGCUGGCGGUGUGCUUAACACAUGCAAGUCGAACGAGAAAGUUUCCUUCGGGAAGCUAGUAAAGUGGCGCAAGGGUGAGUAACACGUGAAUAAUCUGCCCUCGAGAUCGGGAUAACCUGAGGAAACUUAGGCUAAAUACCGGAUAAGACCACAUUUACAUAUGGAAUGUGGGAAAAGGAGUCUCAAUCUUCACUCGAGGAUGAGUUCGCGGGAACCAUUUAGCUUGUUGGUGAGAUAAAAGCUCACCAAGGCAACGAUGGUUAGCCGGCCUGAGAGGGCGAUCGGCCACACUGGAACUGAGACACGGUCCAGACUCCUACGGGAGGCAGGCAGUGGGGAAUAUUGCGCAAUGGGCGAAAGCCUGACGCAGCAACAACCGUGUGAGCGAUG